AAUGUAAAACGGAACCGAACCGAUUAAAUUUUAAAACUUAACCGAUUGAAUCGAAUUGACUCUGUUCGGUUUGGUUUUUCGGUUUGAACCGAAAUCUGCUCACCCCUAACAGUGAGGAAGAUAGUGAACCAAACCUAUCCUGAAGAUGUAGAAGCCUCUAGGAGAAUGUUGUGACAUUCAAAAAAGCUAAGGGGAUAAAAAAAGAAUUAAUGGAAAAAUUGAAACACUCACACACACACAGUGAGGGAGAAGAAACAGAUCAAAUUGCUAGUUAUUCUCUGUGCAUGGAGGAUACACCAGAACUAUAUAACUGAAAGUUACAUGAUUAUCACAGUAAAAUACAGGUCUUGAUCAACUAGUACUUUUCAUCCUUUAUCCAUAUUCAUAUUUGCCCAAGUUUUUGAUUUCUCAUCCUCAACACUUGCACUUGUGAAGCAUUCUGGGUCUCCAGUUAAGGAAUGAACUUCAACAACUUCUAGAUGAUGAUGAUAACAUGGCAGACCUCUACUUAUCAAGAAAAUUAGUUGGCUCAUCUUCACCUGUCAGUGGCUCUGGUGCUCCCAAUUGGUUUCUUAACUCUCUUACCAUAGGUUCAAAGAUAUCCAGAACAAGUACAGCCAGUGCAACAACAACACAAGGGGAGAAUGAUAUUGAAGACCAUGAAAUGUUGCUUGAGGUCGUAAAAGCUAUCUAAAUGCCGUAUUGCCCUGUGUAAUUCACAUGAAAAUUCAAAGUUUGAAAUGGAUUUUCUUCACAGGCUUACUUCAUGCAGAUUGAUGGCACAUUGAACAAAUUGACUAUGCUAGGUUACCAUAUGCCUCUUUUGCAGAUUAAUUUUCGUUCUUAUAAGGCCUAUUUCAUAUAUAAUGAAGCAGGAAAUGUUGCAUUUAGAACCUAAAUUACAUGGGAUUUUGCUUAACUGGCUUCUUAGAAAGUUCAUCUAGAAUAUUACUGCUUAAGGAUGAUUGUUCUGAUGCCUGAGUUAAUCCUUGUCUUCCCUGCUGCGUGAAUAGAGAGAGUCAUCCCUGAAGGAGGUUUUUGAAAGUUCAGGCUGUCUCAUGUUUCUGUCAAUUGAACUUGAACUUUCUGCUAGUUAAAUUAUCAAAAUCCUCCACUCCAGGGCAUUUUAGCAUUCUAAAAAUUUGUAUUGUUGUUUCCUUGUUGCAGCUCAAUAAUCAUCGGCAUCAACUCAUACAGGUGGUCAUCCUCACAAGCAUAAUUUGUGCAAGACUUUUCGCAUCUAGAUAUAAUUUCAUAUGCUCGGCACAAAGAUCUUGUCUUGUCUUGAAUGGAUGUACAUGUGUAUAAAACCAGCCAGAAGGAGAUAUAGAUCAUAAAUCUUGUAAUAUUACUCCCAAGUUCUUUACAUUGGUGGCUUUGGGAACGUGUUCAAGGACUUGAUCAUCAAUUCAUGUGCCAAAACCAAAUAAGUAGAAAGCUUAGGCAUUGAAUUUAAUUAGAAAGUGGGUGCCACAGGCAUUAAUUUGUUAGCUAGCAGCAUGGGUUAAUAAAAGCAUAGUGAGAUGGGGCUUUAGGUGUGACCAUGGGAAGGUGAGAUUGAAUUGAUGAAGUGUGUCCCAGUGCAUUUGACAUUAACAACUAAUGUGGCCUACUGCUGGGGCCGAUUGAAUUAGCUUCCAUUUGUUAGAAGCACCUCUGAAAAGGAGAAGCACGCGGUCAUUGAUUGCUAGCAUCUCAUCUGAUCAUCUCUGAAGCAUUUUUUUCAACAAUUUGGAUCAUUUUCUUGUUCCCCAUUUUCCCUAUAAAGCAACUCAUUUUGGUCCCAAAUGACUACUUUGGUGGGUUCAUGCAAAUAAUUAAUUUUUUUUAAGUAUAGAACAAUUAUCAAUUAUUUUGUC